rnacentral:rRNA from 1 species
AGUGAACGCUGGCGGUAGGCCUAACACAUGCAAGUCGAACGGCAGCACAGUAAGAGCUUGCUCUUACGGGUGGCGAGUGGCGGACGGGUGAGGAAUACAUCGGAAUCUACUUUUUCGUGGGGGAUAACGUAGGGAAACUUACGCUAAUACCGCAUACGACCUACGGGUGAAAGCAGGGGAUCUUCGGACCUUGCGCGAUUGAAUGAGCCGAUGUCGGAUUAGCUAGUUGGCGGGGUAAAGGCCCACCAAGGCGACGAUCCGUAGCUGGUCUGAGAGGAUGAUCAGCCACACUGGAACUGAGACACGGUCCAGACUCCUACGGGGGGCAGCAGUGGGGAAUAUUGGACAAUGGGCGCAAGCCUGAUCCAGCCAUACCGCGUGGGGGAAGAAGGCCUUCGGGUUGGAAAGCCCUUUUGUUGGGAAAGAAAAGCAGCAGGUUAAUACCCCGCUGUUCUGACGGUACCCAAAGAAUAAGCACCGGCUAACUUCGUG